rnacentral:lncRNA from 1 species
CUAAAAUGUACCACAUACUUAUGAAAACUGCACCAAAGCAAUGAAAAAAAAUAUAUAUAUAUAUAUAUAUAUCUUUCUCUCUCUCUCCUCCCUCCCCCAGAGCUGGUUGAAGAGGUGAGUAUUUAUGACGUCCUGUGGGAGACCAGUGAGAGAGUAGCAGAUGAGACCCUCUACUCAGCCUUCCUCAGAGGGAUGUAUUCCAGACGUCUGCCUGCCCACUGCUAUGCUGACUUCUGCCACCAGGAGAUGCUAUACCUGGACAGAGUCAUCACCAUGCUGCAGGUGAAAAGAAAAUACAUUAAAUAAAACAAAUACCGUAACGUUUUACUUACUAUGACUGUGAUACGUGGUUGUCAUCCCUAGCUAUCUGAAGAUAAGUUGCUCUGUGUGUGUAAAUGUGUGUAUGAGCCAGGUGCUGAUCAGAACAGUCCAGGGUCCACCAGACAUCAUGCAGUUUCUCCAGAGAACACAUCAACGCUACCAGGAGUCUCUGAAGGAGGCCCAGAACCAAACUCCACAACACCUGAACCUGUCCUCCAUCCAGCCCUCUGCAGCUGUGCGUCAGUACCUCCAGAGCUUCCAUGACAUUGUGAAUGAGGAGCCCAUCUACUGGCUGGUGUCUCUGCUGCCCAGAGCCCUGCUCAGACCUUACCUGGCAAAGAACCUGCCCCUGGGAGAGAGGACCAGACCAGGCCCCAGGCCCUGCCUCUACCCCUGGCUAAGCCUCUUCCCCUGCCCCUGCUACCAGUGGGGGGGAGAGGACAUGAAGUCAGACCAGAGGAACCAGAAAGACAAGUCAGGGACAUAUUACAGGUAUCUUGAAGUUUAUAGCCUAUGGAGG